rnacentral:rRNA from 1 species
CAGUAGCCGCGGUAAUACAGAGGGUGCAAGCGUUAAUCGGAAUUACUGGGCGUAAAGCGCGCGUAGGUGGUUUGUUAAGUCGGAUGUGAAAUCCCUGAGCUUAACUUAGGAAUUGCAUUCGAUACUGGGAAGCUAGAGUAUGGGAGAGGAUGGUAGAAUUCCAGGUGUAGCGGUGAAAUGCGUAGAGAUCUGGAGGAAUACCGAUGGCGAAGGCAGCCAUCUGGCCUAAUACUGACGCUGAGGUACGAAAGCAUGGGGAGCAAACAGGAUUAGAUACCCCCGUAGUCCCUGUCUCUUAUAC